UCUCUUCCUCCAUUAUAUGUACAUUCACAGUUGUAAAACCCUUCAUCUGAUGGUUGUAUGUUAGUGAUGUGUAGAAACACUCUGCCACCAUCAUUCUGUAGAUUGACCCUGGAGUCACAAGUGCUAUUUGUAUAAUUUUUGUCAAACCGUAAUGAGAUGUGACACUUGUGCUCCCCAUUUCUUUUACAUGUUAUCAACAACAUAUCAGACAUUGUAUGAUUUUGGCAAAUGUGAGUGACAUCUGUUCCUCCGAUCUCCAAUGUUUUCAGUAGGGUCACUAUAAAUAGGAAGGGAAGGUAAUAUUUUUUAAUGGGAUAUAUUGCGUAGUGAAUCUAUAUGUUGAUAAUAAAAAUACAAUGCAUAGUUUGUUGUGUAAAAAGAGAUUUACAAAAAAUAAUUUGUAAAAAUUGUUUUCCAUCUCAGUGCUUGUUGUCACAAGUUUUUAUAUUGUUGUAAGAGAUUGAAAACUUAACAGCAAUGAUAACAAUAUUUCAUUUCAUUCUGUUUUGAAUGCAACAUUUAGCACAGGUUAUCACUUAUUCCUGUGUUGCUUCUACAUCCUGAAUGUGUGUUUAAGAAAAGAACCGUUGUCUUUCUUACCUUCACUGGCGGUGUACAUCCCCAACAGAAACAGAAGUGGUGCAAACCGAAACACACUUCUACACAUACUGUUUUUUCUUCAGACCCCAACGUUAAAGAAAAAAUAUCAGCUCAGACUUACAACAGAACAAAGUCAAACUAAGGCAAACCCAAUUGAUGAUCCUCUAACAGGUUUUAUACUGGUUAAACUCUGCUAACAUGAAAGCUGAGAGCAGAAACUGAUGCUCAUAACAUCAAAACAUCUCUGUCUCUGCAGUGGACCCACCACCACACACAAUGUAAUUAUCAAACACUAGGCCACAGCUCCAUUUCCUGCUAUAACAAACAUCAUAGACUGUUUUCUGCCCUAACCACAAGACUGAGAGGUAAUUAUAUUAGGUUUAGGUACGUGUUUUAGAUCUGGUCAUCUCAAUGCAUAGCAGGAAAUGAUCCAAUUAAAU
ensembl:lncRNA